UUUGAUCAUAAAGAAGAUUAAUAAGAAAAGGUCCCACAACCCCAAACCAAAUGCUUGUGGCUGCGCCCCUGCUCAGGGUACGCGGGGCCAGGGCUGCCACAGGAAGCCACCCCCCCGCGGGCGGCGGGCGAGGUCCUGGGAGUGUCACACUCAUAACCUUUUUCUGCUUCUUAGAUGGUGACAAACUGCAGAGCUUGCAGACCUGGCCACCCCCACAGCGGAUGCUGGAGGAGUCCCCUGCAACCAGCUAAGCCAAUGUCACCGGCAGAGGCUUCUAAAUAUAGCAGCAUGUGGGGUCCUGGGCACCGUGGCAGCAGGGCCUCAGCUUUGCUGGACAAAAACUGAGUGGAAGCUGAGUAGCAGGAUGAGGAGCCCACCAGGUGCCCAGUGGGACUUGCCAGGUGCCCAGUGGGACUUGGCAUACAACCACAGGGAGGCUCCCAACCCUCAUACCCUCUCGUGUGUCCCUGAUACAGGCUUCACAUGGGAAGGGGCUUCCAAACGGACCUUCAGGAGAACCAGAUCUCAGCUGGACGCGGCUCCAAGUUCCCACCCGUUAUUUCCUAGAGAGGGCAGCCAUGUACAGAACCCAGGCCCACCGUGCCUGUCCUGGGGGCUCUCCCAGCUCACUGUUGGGCAGGAGGAGGGCGCCAUUCCUCUGCACCCCCCAGAGGUUGCAGAUGCUGUGGCCCACACUGCUCCAGCUGAGCAUGGUCAUUGAGACCUGUCACCGAGUGACAGAAUGCUCACAUCCACCCCAGGGCAGCCACUGUUUCUUCCACAUUUGCAGAUGAGGAAACUGAGGCAGAAAGGACUUUAGUGAUUGGCCAGAGGUCACACAGCAAAAAGGGAUGGACAGACUGGGCAGCAGAUGGCAAGGACCUCAAGUGUUCAUUUGGUUGUUUCUCAGAGCCAGGAAGACAGUGUGAACAUGUGGGAAACAAAUGAAUGGAUCACGGCACUUGAAGACAACCAAGAACAGCCCUGACUACUCCCCA